UGCCCAGUAGCUCAAUUGGCAGAGCAUCUGAUUCUGGUUCAGAAGGUUGAUGGUUCGAGUCCAUCCUGGGCAA
rnacentral:tRNA from 2 species